AACCAUAGAAACCUGCGGAGUACCUGCGGAGGGAUCAUUAUAGUAUAUGGAAUCUCCAUUCUAUAAACCCACUCUGCGUAUCUUGUAACUGUCGCUUCCAUGGGACUUGGUUCCGCCACACCGGCUUCACGGCUGGUGAGCGCCCAUGGAAGGAGAAACAAAACUCUUCUUUGAAAUGUAGUCAGUCUGAACAAGUUUUUAUAAACGUUAAAACUUUUAACAAUGGAUCUCAGAUCGGAA
rnacentral:misc_RNA from 1 species